AGAGUUUGAUCAUGGCUCAGGAUGAACGCUAGCGGCAGGCUUAAUACAUGCAAGUCGUGGGGCAGCACAGAGUAGCAAUACUUGGGUGGCGACCGGCAAACGGGUGCGGAACACGUACGCAACCUUCCUUCAGGCGGGGAAUAGCCCAGAGAAAUUUGGAUUAAUACCCCAUAAAAUUUUGAGAUGGCAUCAUCUUAUUAUUAAAGCUUCGGCACCUGAUGAUGGGCGUGCGGCUGAUUAGGUAGUUGGCGGGGUAACGGCCCACCAAGCCUACGAUCAGUAGCUGAUGUGAGAGCAUGAUCAGCCACACGGGCACUGAGACACGGGCCCGACUCCUACGGGAGGCAGCAGUAAGGAAUAUUGGUCAAUGGACGCAAGUCUGAACCAGCCAUGCCGCGUGGAGGAUGAAGGUCCUCUGGAUUGUAAACUUCUUUUAUCUGGGACGAAAAAAGGGUUUUCUAACUCGUCUGACGGUACCAGAUGAAUAAGCACCGGCUAACUCCGUGCCAGCAGCCGCGGUAAUACGGAGGGUGCAAGCGUUAUCCGGAUUCACUGGGUUUAAAGGGUGCGUAGGCGGGCAUUUAAGUCAGUGGUGAAAUACCUGAGCUUAACUUGGGAACUGCCAUUGAUACUAUUUGUCUUGAAUGUCGUGGAGGUUAGCGGAAUAUGUCAUGUAGCGGUGAAAUGCUUAGAUAUGACAUAGAACACCUAUUGCGAAGGCAGCUAACUACGCGAAUAUUGACGCUGAGGCACGAAAGCGUGGGGAUCAAACAGGAUUAGAUACCCUAGUAGUCC
rnacentral:rRNA from 1 species